UGUGAUUUCUUAGAUCGUUGCUUUCCUUCGGGAAAGUCUGGAUAACUGUGGCAAUUCUAGAGCUAAUACAUGCAACCAAGCUCCGACCUUCGUGGGAAGAGCGCUCUUAUUAGACCGAGGCCAACCUGCUGGGCAACUGGCAGUUUGCUGUGGUGACUCUGAAUAAACACAGUUGAUCGCACGACUUUACGUCGGCGACGUAUCUUUCAAGCGUAUGCCCUAUCAGCUGUCGACGGUAGGGUAGCGGCCUACCGUGGCAUCAACGGGUAACGGGGGAUCAGGGUCCGAUCCCGGAGAGUAAGCCUGAGAGACGGCUUACACAUCUAAGGAAGGCAGCAGGCGCGCAAAUUACCCAAUGGGGACACCCUGAGGUAGUGACAAGAAAUAACAAUACGCGACUCUUUCGAGGCCGCGUAAUUGGAAUGAGCACAGUCUAAAUCCUUUAGCGAGGAUCAAUUGGAGGGCAAGUCUGGUGCCAGCAGCCGCGGUAAUUCCAGCUCCAAUAGCGUAUAUUAAAGUUGCUGCAGUUAAAAAGCUCGUAGUUGACAAUCGGUGCUCGUCUCGGCGGUCCUGUUCACGCAGGCACUGCCUUGAUGGCCUCUACACACUGGCUUGAGGUCGGGCAGGCUGGGCAACUGGCGGUUCGACCAAAGCCCCGGGUGCCCUUUAUUGGGUGCCCGUGGGUGGCCUUUGCGUUUACUUUGAAGAAAUUAGAGUGUUCAAAGCGGGCUAUCUAUAGCUCGGAUACUCGUACAUGGAAUAAUGGAAUAGGACCCUGGGUCAUUUCCGUUGGUCUAUGGCCAUUGGGUAAUGAUUAAAAGGGACUGCCGGGGGCAUUGGUAUGGUGGGGGGAGAGGUGAAAUUCCGUGAUCCUCGCCAGACCAACUACAGCGAAAGCAUUUGCCAAGAAUGUCUUCAUUAAUCAAGAACGAAAGUCAGAGGUUCGAAGACGAUCAGAUACCGUCGUAGUUCUGACCAUAAACGAUGCCAGCUUGGAAGUGGCGAUGGUUGUAUUUCAUGACCCCGCCACGGCCCGUCGGGAAACCAUAAGCGUUUGGGUUCCGGGGGAAGUAUGGUUGCAAAGCUGAAACUUAAAGGAAUUGACGGAAGGGCACCACCAGGAGUGGAGCCUGCGGCUUAAUUUGACUCAACACGGGAAAACUCACCCGGCCCGGACACUGCAAGGAUUGACAGAUUGAGAGCUCUUUCUCGAUUCGGUGGAUGGUGGUGCAUGGCCGUUCUUAGUUGGUGGAGUGAUUUGUCUGGUUAAUUCCGAUAACGAACGAGACUCUAGCCUACUAACUAGUUCGCCGAUCUGCUUCUGUGGGUCGGUAAUAAACUUCUUAGAGGGACAAGUGGCGCUUAGCCACGCGAGAUGGAGCAAUAACAGGUCUGUGAUGCCCUUAGAUGUCCGGGGCCGCACGCGCGCUACACUGAAAGAAUCAACGU
rnacentral:rRNA from 1 species